CUUGCCAGUGCUAUUUGAUGCCCUGUUGAACUUUAGCCAAACUUCAUUUUAUAAUGUUCUCUCAGUCCUGAGCAUAUAUAAUAUAUUUUAAUGAAAUUACGCUUCUGUAUUGACUGGCAGACAUCAGAAACACAUUCACAUAGGUCAAAAGCAGUUGAGCUAAGUGUUGGGUGGGAGGAACUAUUAAAACAGUACAGGAAAAAUAUUUGGAAACAAAACAAAACUUUAAAAUAAAAUAACCCAAAUAAACAAUUCUCUCUCUCUCUCUCUCUCUCACACACACACACACACACACGCACACAGAACUUGGAUGUGGCUAUUGGGAGUUAAUGUAUAAUUCUGAUAAUUUGUGUAUUUCUUCAUUAUAUUAAACUUGGAAUUUAUAUUUUUGACAUUAUUCCAAAGGUGUAAUAAUUGACUUUUAAAAUAGAAUAACAUUGUAAUGGGAUCAUAUUAAGCAUAUAUUAAAUGUAACACAAAUAAGCACUGAGUCUACCUAAAGUGGUAUUUUUUUUUAAUUUUGUGGCUACUCAGGGGUUUUGCAUUAUAUUAUCAAAAGCUAACAACCUUAAGGCCAUUUGUGGUAAUUCAAAAAAUGUUCAAGCAUCUAUGCUUGAUGGCUAAGCUUAUAUCUAACAGUGGAAUAACUGCAAGGCAGGAAUUGGCUUGAAAAAGCAAAUAUUGGCUGUGUAUUUCAAAUAUCUUUUCUAGAAUGGAACACUUUGGUUGAUAGAUUGACCUAUUUUGUUUACAUCCAAUAUGUGUACCCCAGUAUAAAACUUAAAAAAUGGCAAUUUCUCAUGAUAUUUUAGUUAUAAGUCUAGAAAUAUCAACCUUGACAUUUGGUUUAAUAAGCUUCUGCCACUUAUUCCUAGAUCAGUAUUUUUCAAUUGACAAAUAAGUUUUCUUUGCGAUCUACCAAAACCAGGUUGUCACAUUCUUUUAGUUGUUACCUGGACAGACUGCUUUUAUUGCUCAUUAAUCAGAUGCUGUGGUUAAGGUGUGUCUAUUAAAUAACUACUUAGGGAUGUAUCGUCAUUCUGUUUGUUUAUUUAAGAAAACAAAUUUUUGUUUUGGUGUAAUUUCUAAAUAAAAUAUAUUCAUGGUAAUGUGGAUAAUUGACAUUAUUUAUACAAAUCAUUUGGAAUUGAGUACCUUGUUAACUGUGUAAUAAGUAUGGUUAUAAAAAGAGAAUGAGUAUCAUAACAUUUUUGCCUAUAUACACUUUUAAAUAUUUAUCAGGAUCUACAUUUUUCUUAAACUGUUAAUUUGGAUGUGUUGAAAUGUAGCCUAUAAAUUUCUUUUUAAGUAAUUGUUACUAAAAAACCUUAUGGAUCUUCACAUGUCUGGUUCCAAUUAAUCUGCUUAGACUAAUGGAUAAAAUAAUAAACCUGAUUUAGUCAAUCUGGA
ensembl:lncRNA novel transcript